rnacentral:tRNA from 1 species
CGCCCCCGGGUGGGCUCAAACCACCAACCUUUCGGUUAACAGCCGAACGCGCUAGCCUAUUGCGCCACGGGGGC